UCCUGUAUCGAAAGUGGUCAUGGCAUUUUGGUGGCCAGGUCAUUGAUAAUGCAGGAAGAGAAACGUGCGAGCCUUUCCCGUGUUUGAAGGAUCUCUUGUUCCUCUCAGACCCUGGUGCUCUCAUACA
rnacentral:snoRNA from 1 species